rnacentral:lncRNA from 1 species
CGGGGAGAUUGGUGACAUCAUCUCCUGCAGAAGUGUCCCCAGUCAGGGCUGAACAUUCAUCCUGUUUCCUGUGUUCAUGGAGCUGUGGUGUUGCCUAGGCCCACCUUUACCAGGAUUAUUGAAGCAAUUAUCAAUAUUAUUUGUGAACAAAGCAAAGUCACUCAAAGAUCUGGAAACUGUGUUACAAGCACUAACCACAGGUUCCUGUAAGAAGCCACAAAACUGAAACUAAAUACUGUAAGUGAUGGCUACACAGUGAUUAAAAUAGAACUUUCAGCAGUAUGGACAGAGAAACUGUUUAAACAACUACAAGGCAGGAAUAAGAAGAAACAAAUGGCGGUGAAUUUCUUUCUGCUUUCUGAGGCAAUAUUGGCAUGGAAAAUGUGCUUUGGAAAAGAAAUAAAGAAAUAAUACACAGGAGAAAGCUGACA